UGGGGAAUAUUGCACAAUGGGCGAAAGCCUGAUGCAGCGACGCCGCGUGAGGGAUGACGGCCUUCGGGUUGUAAACCUCUUUCAGCAGGGAAGAAGCGCAAGUGACGGUACCUGCAGAAGAAGCACCGGCUAACUACGUGCCAGCAGCCGCGGUAAUACGUAGGGUGCGAGCGUUGUCCGGAAUUAUUGGGCGUAAAGAGCUCGUAGGCGGCCUGUCGCGUCGGAUGUGAAAGCCCGGGGCUCAACCCCGGGUCUGCAUUCGAUACGGGCAGGCUGGAGUGUGGUAGGGGAGAUCGGAAUUCCUGGUGUAGCGGUGAAAUGCGCAGAUAUCAGGAGGAACACCGGUGGCGAAGGCGGAUCUCUGGGCCAUUACUGACGCUGAGGAGCGAAAGCGUGGGGAGCGAACA
rnacentral:rRNA from 1 species